rnacentral:rRNA from 1 species
AACGAACGCUGGCGGCAGGCUUAACACAUGCAAGUCGAACGCCGUAGCAAUACGGAGUGGCAGACGGGUGAGUAACACGUGGGAACAUGCCCUUCGGUUCGGAAUAACUCAGGGAAACUUGAGCUAAUACCGGAUACGUCCAAGGCAACUUGGAGAAAGAUUUAUUGCCGGAGGAUUGGCCCGCGUCUGAUUAGCUAGUUGGUGGGGUAAUGGCUCACCAAGGCGACGAUCAGUAGCUGGUCUGAGAGGAUGAUCAGCCACAUUGGGACUGAGACACGGCCCAAACUCCUACGGGAGGCAGCAGUGGGGAAUAUUGGACAAUGGGCGCAAGCCUGAUCCAGCCAUGCCGCGUGAGUGAUGAAGGCCUUAGGGUUGUAAAGCUCUUUUGCCUGGGAAGAUAAUGACGGUACCAGGAGAAUAAGCCCCGGCUAACUUUGUGCCAGCCGCCGCCGUAACAC